GAUGAACGCUGGCGGCGUGCCUAAUACAUGCAAGUAGAACGCUGAAGCUUGGUGCUUGCACCGAGCGGAUGAGUUGCGAACGGGUGAGUAACGCGUAGGUAACCUGCCUCUUAGCGGGGGAUAACUAUUGGAAACGAUAGCUAAUACCGCAUAAAAGUCGAUAUCGCAUGAUAUUGAUUUGAAAGGUGCAAAUGCAUCACUAAGAGGUGGACCUGCGUUGUAUUAGCUAGUUGGUGAGGUAACGGCUCACCAAGGCGACGAUACAUAGCCGACCUGAGAGGGUGAUCAGCCACACUGGGACUGCGACACCGCCCAGACUCCUACGGGAGGCAGCAGUAGGGAAUCUUCGGCAAUGGGGGCAACCCUGACCGAGCAACGCCGCGUGAGUGAAGAAGGUUUUCGGAUCGUAAAGCUCUGUUGUAAGAGAAGAACGAGUGUGAGAGUGGAAAGUUCACACUGUGACGGUAACUUACCAGAAAGGGACGGCUAACUACGUG
rnacentral:rRNA from 1 species